AGUGAACGCUGGCGGUAGGCCUAACACAUGCAAGUCGAACGGCAGCACAGUAAGAGCUUGCUCUUACGGGUGGCGAGUGGCGGACGGGUGAGGAAUACAUCGGAAUCUACUUUUUCGUGGGGGAUAACGUAGGGAAACUUACGCUAAUACCGCAUACGACCUACGGGUGAAAGCAGGGGAUCUUCGGACCUUGCGCGAUUGAAUGAGCCGAUGUCGGAUUAGCUGGUUGGCGGGGUAAAGGCCCACCAAGGCGACGAUCCGUAGCUGGUCUGAGAGGAUGAUCAGCCACACUGGAACUGAGACAGGGUCCAGACUCCUACGGGAGGCAGCAGUGGGGAAUAUUGGACAAUGGGCGCAAGCCUGAUCCAGCCAUACCGCGUGGGUGAAGAAGGCCUUCGGGUUGUAAAGCCCUUUUGUUGGGAAAGAAAAGCAGCAGGUUAAUACCCCGCUGUUCUGACGGUACCCAAAGAAUAAGCACCGGCUAACUUCGUG
rnacentral:rRNA from 1 species